rnacentral:rRNA from 1 species
AGCGAACGCUGGCGGCAGGCCUAACACAUGCAAGUCGAGCGAGACUCUUCGGAGUCUAGCGGCGGACGGGUGAGUAACACGUGGGCAACCUGCCUGUAAGACUGGGAUAACACCGGGAAACCGGCGCUAACACCGGAUAAUCCUUUUUCUCUCAUGAGGGAAAGCUGAAAGUCGGUUUCGGCUGACACUUACAGAUGGGCCCGCGGCGCAUUAGCUAGUUGGUGAGGUAACGGCUCACCAAGGCGACGAUGCGUAGCCGACCUGAGAGGGUGAGCGGCCACACUGGGACUGAGACACGGCCCAGACUCCUACGGGAGGCAGCAGUAGGGAAUCUUCCACAAUGGACGAAAGUCUGAUGGAGCAACGCCACGUGAGCGAUGAGGGCCUUCGGGUCGUAAAGCUCUGUUGUUAGGGAAGAACAAGUACCGGAGUAACUGCCGGUACCUUGACGGUACCUAACCAGAAAGCCACGGCUAACUACGUGCCAGCCGCCGCCGUAAGAC